rnacentral:tRNA from 1 species
GAGGGUAUAGCUCAGUGGUAGAGCAUAUGCCUAGCAUGCAUGAGGUCCUGGGUUCAACCCCCAGUACCUCCA